rnacentral:rRNA from 1 species
ACGAACGCUGGCGGCAGGCCUAACACAUGCAAGUCGAGCGCGCCCUUCGGGGUGAGCGGCGGACGGGUUAGUAACGCGUGGGAAUAUACCCUUUGGUACGGAAUAGCCUCUGGAAACGGAGAGUAAUACCGUAUGAGCCCUUCGGGGGAAAGAUUUAUCGCCAAAGGAUUAGCCCGCGUUAGAUUAGGUAGUUGGUGGGGUAAUGGCCUACCAAGCCUACGAUCUAUAGCUGGUUUUAGAGGAUGAUCAGCAACACUGGGACUGAGACACGGCCCAGACUCCUACGGGAGGCAGCAGUGGGGAAUCUUGGACAAUGGGGGCAACCCUGAUCCAGCCAUGCCGCGUGAGUGAUGAAGGCCUUAGGGUCGUAAAGCUCUUUCGCCUGUGAAGAUAAUGACGGUAGCAGGUAAAGAAACCCCGGCUAACUCCGUGCCAGCAGCCGCGGUAAUACGGAGGGGGUUAGCGUUGUUCGGAAUUACUGGGCGUAAAGCGCACGUAGGCGGACUGGAAAGUUGGGGGUGAAAUCCCGGGGCUCAACCCCGGAACUGCCUCCAAAACUAUCAGUCUAGAGUUCGAGAGAGGUGAGUGGAAUUCCGAGUGUAGAGGUGAAAUUCGUAGAUAUUCGGAGGAACACCAGUGGCGAAGGCGGCUCACUGGCUCGAUACUGACGCUGAGGUGCGAAAAGUGUGGGGAGCAAACAGGAUUAGAUACCCCUGGUA